rnacentral:rRNA from 1 species
GACGAACGCUGGCGGCGUGCUUAACACAUGCAAGUCGAACGGAAAGGCCCUUCGGGGUACUCGAGUGGCGAACGGGUGAGUAACACGUGGGUGAUCUGCCCUGCACUUUGGGAUAAGCCUGGGAAACUGGGUCUAAUACCGAAUAUGAUCAUCGGCUUCAUGGUCGGUGGUGGAAAGCUUUUGCGGUAUGGGAUGGGCCCGCGGCCUAUCAGCUUGUUGGUGGGGUAAUGGCCUACCAAGGCGACGACGGGUAGCCGGCCUGAGAGGGUGACCGGCCACACUGGGACUGAGAUACGGCCCAGACUCCUACGGGAGGCAGCAGUGGGGAAUAUUGCACAAUGGGCGCAAGCCUGAUGCAGCGACGCCGCGUGAGGGAUGACGGCCUUCGGGUUGUAAACCUCUUUCAGCACAGACGAAGCGCAAGUGACGGUAUGUGCAGAAGAAGGACCGGCCAACUACGUG